AUGACUUCCUUCAGAGCCCUAAACAAAAGUGGAGCAGAUCCCACCUGUCUGAGAUGCAGGGACUUCGACCGAAUCUCUUCAGCAAGGCUGGCGUCCACAUCCAAUCACAAAAGAACCUUUGAGCCAUGAGAUAUUUUCCUCUCAUCACAGCAAGAGAACCUUUGCUUCCUCAUUUCUGUAGCUUAAUAUAACAAAUGCCUCUUGAAUUACAGAGAAAAAGUUUAUCUACCUCCAGUUACAAACAAGGGAUUUGUAUUUUGCAGAUCAGAUGCUUUUCUUUCAACCCUAAAGGUAACUGCUGCCAGGCACAGCAGGCUUAUGAAAAAAACCUUCACUGCCUGUGUAAAACAGUUACUUAAAAUGAACAUCCUGCCUUGGUUGGUCUCCAAGCAGCUAGAAACAACAGCAGCAUUUUCUCUUUCACAAACUGCAUGCAAAUUGCACAAGAUCUGAAGCACACUUCAGUGCUGUGACACCUCUGGGAGUGAAGAGAAAAACUUUGAUGGCAAAUUUCCAGUUUGGUUUCCUGGAUAUCAACAACUGCACGAAGGAUUUAACAGGUGAUUAAGAUGAGCAGUGUCUGAUCUCAUGUUAACUGCCUAAAGCCGGUUACUAAAGGUAAGUACUUACUAGACAUAUGUCUCACCGUCUACCACCCCUUUCUAACUCACUUCUUAUUCAGCUACUGCAAAAUCUCUAUGUUUGUCUUCUCAGCAUUCCUGGAGGGUCACUCGGACACCAGCCCAUUAGAUCAAAACAGGAGAUCAAGCCCAGGACUGCAAAGUCCGACAUCUGAAGUAGCAGAGAACAUUUUUAGAGGAACUACAUGCAAUAUUGGCUUUUCUUGGUUCUUUAAAAGAUAAGCAUUUUGAAAGGGUCUGCAGGACUAGGGGAGCUCUAAAGACAAUUCAGAUUCAAAUUAAAUAAUAGCCUAGCUUUUAAUGGAAAUGAUCAUCAAUCCCAAUCUGGAAAACCCACAAAAGUGUAAGGCACCUGCCUUCUUUCUUUCUUUAGGUGCCACUUGCUCUGACAUCCAGUUUUCCUGUUUCCUUACACGUGUGCUAAAGCAGGCACUGACAUAUUCAGGAUGGAGACUGACAAAUCCUUACAAGCAUGGUGAUAUCAUCAGUUCUUCUGCAUCAAUGAACAGAUGUUCAAGGUGUCAUUUUAAAAUAAAAAUAUUUUUUAAAAUGAAGUAUGGGCUAUAUUUUGGGGGGUUCUCCAGGAUAUAAGACAGGAUAUAAGACUACUGAACAGCUUGGUGCUGUGCAUGAGUGCCAGGACAGUCUCCAUUAAAUCUGUUCUAGUUCUAAUGCAUGACCUUUUGCAUGACAAAAGUGAGUCUGUUAUUUUCUUGGUGCAUUUGUUUUGAACAGCAUAGUACAGUAUACUACUGG